rnacentral:rRNA from 1 species
AUUGAACGCUGGCGGCAGGCUUAACACAUGCAAGUCGAACGAGUGGCGGACGGGUGAGUAAUGCUUGGGAAUCUAGCUUAUGGAGGGGGAUAAAUACGGGAAACUGUAGCUAAUACCGCGUACCAUAGGAUUAGCAUAUGUGGGAUUAGCUAGUUGGUGGGGUAAUGGUGCACCAAGGCGACUAUCUUUAGCUGGUUUGAGCGGAUGAUAAGCAACACUUGGACUGAUAAACGGCCCAGACUCCUACGGGAGGCAGCAGUGGGGAAUAUUGGACAAUGGGCGAAAUCCUGAUCCAGCAAUACCGCGUGUGUGAAGAAGGCCCUAGGGUUGUAAAGCACUUUUGUUAGGGAGAUGUUACCUAAAGAAUAAGCACCGGCUAACUCCGUGCCAGCAGCCGCGGUAAUAC